rnacentral:rRNA from 1 species
AUUGAACGCUGGCGGCGUGCCUAAUACAUGCAAGUCGAACGGAGUGGCGCACGGGUGAGUAAUAUAUAGCUAAUCUGCCCCUUGCUGGAGGACAACAGUUAGAAAUGACUGCUAAUACUCCAUAGCCAGUGAUGAGACUAUAUCGUAUCAGCUAGUCGGUGGGGUAACGGCCUACCGAGGCUAUGACGCGUAACUGGUCUGAGAGGAUGAUCAGUCACAUUGGAACUGAGACACGGUCCAAACUCCUACGGGAAGGAGCAGUAGGGAAUAGUGCGCAAUGGGCGAGACCCUGACGCAGCAACGCGGCGUAAAGGAUGACACUUUUCGAAGAGUAAACUCCUUUUGAUAGGGAAGCGGUACCUAACGAAUAAGCACCGGCUAACUCCGUGCCAGCAGCCGCGGUAAUAC